AAUUUUUCAGUUACUUACGGACUACUGAUGCAUUUCUUUAAGACAUACCAGAUUAUCUUUAGGAAGAUCCACAAGUCCAAUGUCUGCUAACAAUGUGCCAUACUGUAGACGCAUGUCCCUGGGGAUAAAAAUCAAAUUAGAUGAUUUGUAGUUGACAGUUACUUUACAAUUUUAAUGUAAAAUAAAAUUGAAAAACUGAUAUUUGUCAGCAGUAAUUGCUCAGUUGACUCUAUAUUAAAGUAUAACAAAUUUGGAAGUAGGUUUGAACAAAAACAGGUUAACGAUCGCUUUUACAAUUAGUAGUGACUACACGCUUUUACAAUUAGUAGUGACUACACGCUUUUACAAUUAGUAGUGACUACAGAAGAUAUGUUCUUGCACCGACGCGGGUAUAGAGGAGAGCUGCAAGUUACCAACCAAUACUUGAGCUUUGCUAGGUUCACUUAAACCCUGGUAGGUAUCACUACAGGUUACCAUGUGAUAUUUAGAUGGUUGGCUGGUUGCUGAUGUGAUAGCGACAAAAUGAGAAAAUUGACUUAUCUGGGCUUUUUAUCACUCAAAAAAGCACUUGCUAAAAAUAUCGGCCGGUAUUUAAGGUGAUCGGUGUCAGGGUCGAGCUCCCCUGUUUCCCUGUGCCGGAUGUACCGUUGGUGGCCGAUGGAGCAUCUAACGGUGGAGAAGAGAGGAUACCGCUUCGGGUUAUGAAGACUGGCGAGCCGUCGAUCUGGAAUCCAAUGCCAACGCGAGCUGCCCGCGUCGCUGUUGCCUUUCCGACAACUCCACUACGCCAGUUCUUUUACUUUACUCACUUUUAGCUUCGAUAGCUUAUUUAAGUCCCGAUUCCCAGCCCUAAGAGGCAUGUAAUAGAUGACUAUCUUCGAACCCUAGCCGCCGGUGGCAUGCUGAACCCAUUUUUCCCGAAACCCAAGCAAUACAUCCACCCUUCGGCCUACGAUUUGCUUGUGAUUUCGCUUGCUGAUGCAUGUUCGGCUGUUCGUCACUAGUCAGUUCCUGACAAUUGGUAUCAGAGACCAGUCGAUUCUCGGCUGGNNNNNNNNNNNNNNNNNNNNNNNNNNNNNNNNNNNNNNNNNNNNNNNNNGAAAGAGACGAGAUCCAGAUCGGGAAAAGCUUGGAUCCAAGGUUGAAGGUACGGAAAUCGACACCCACCACCCUCCCCUGUUUCUGUAGCGCCAUGGCAGAGCAAGCUGCUUCUCUGGCAACGGCUGAUCUGCAGCUAGCAUCCUUGGAGCUGGAUAUUAAGGCCAUCCAGAUCAAUAGAGAGGAAGAUAGGAAGGAGUUUCAGGAUUUCCGCACCAUGGUGAACAAGAACUUUGCUACUAUGCAAAGUGAUUUUGACAAGAUACAGGAAAACUUCAGAAGGCUGUUGGUAGAACCUGGAUCUGAUGAGGGGCAAGUGGAGCGCUCUGAGCAGGGCAGUGCUCAGAUGAAGGGUCAUGAGGCACUAUCUCCUGUAAUUCCACCAGGUAGGCCCAAGCAGUUGGUUCAUAGUACUCCACCAUCUGUGCAGGGACAGGACAAAGAGGCACCUGUGGUUGUUGGCUCAGCUGUGUUAAGAGAUCACACUGGAAAAGAGGUCAAUUUAGAUGGUACAAGCAAGCUGCCUUACAGACACCCCAAUUUCACUAGUAACAGGCAGGAAGGGAUUAAUCCAAUGGGUCAUCAGCAACAAGUGAACAUUCCUGCAGUGGAGAUGGGAACCAUGGAAGAGUGGCCUGAUGGUCAAAGGCAGAGACUUUAUUCUCCUAUGGAGGGCAGAAGGCAUGUGCUUACAGUAAAGCCUGCUAAGUUAAAUAUUUCUGAAUUUGAUGGACAGGAUCCUGAGGCUUGGAUUCAAAACCUGGAUCAGUAUUUUGCAGCUGCUAGAACUCUAUUGAGCACAGAACUGAAUUGGCAGUAUCUUAUUUGCAUGGACCAGCUGUUCAAUGGUGGAGGGGUACUGGGUAUGCUCCUGCUAAUGUGCCUUGGCAUAAAUUCUGUUCUUAUCUAUCAGAAAGAUUUGCUGUGGAUUCUUCUUGUGAUAUUGUAAGUUCCUUUCAUGCUGUCCAUCAGACUACUACAUUAUCAGCUUAUGUGGAACACUUUGAGCAGUUAAUGAAUGUUAUGAGGAGAGAAAACCCUGGUAUUCCUGACAGUUACUAUGUAACUAGUUUUGUGGCUGGACUCAACACUUAUAUCAAGAGCCAUGUGGAGUGCUUUAAACCUAAAGAUAUGCAAACUGCAAUUUGGUAUGCAAGAAGAAUGGAGAAAGCACAACCACCAGUAGUGGUUGGACACUCUUAAGAAUUAUGUGCCACAGCCUAGGAGACAGGUGACUUUUGAUCAGCCUAAGCUGGAGGGCAACAGUUCAGUGCAGAACAGGAAUACUAUAAUCCAGCAAGCCAAGCAAAACCAAGUUUGCUAUAAAUGCAGAGAGCCUUGGGUUCCUGGUCAUAGACAGGUUUGUAAAAUGAGUCAAAAAGCUCAGAUCCAGGCCUUACAAGCAGUGGAAGAAGGAAUGCCUGAAACCAUUUUUGUUACUGAUUUUGCUGACCCUGAUCUAGACAACAUUGAACAGCUCCCUGAGGAUGCAAUCCUACAAGUUUCUAUGCAUGCUGCUAUGGGAAUUGGAGCAGUGAAGAACACCUUUAUCUUGACAGUGAAGGUGGGCAACAUUUCUGCUACAGCUUUGGUGGAUAGUGGUAGUACCUCUACCUUUGUGUCCCCUGAGAUGGCAGCCAAAAUGAAAGUUCAGCUCAGACCCACUACCAGAGUAAGAGUGGCUGUAGCAAGUGGAGAAGUGCUGUGGAGUGAGUUCAUAGUACCAAACUGUCCUUAUGAGAUACAGAACCAGAAAUUCAGUGACAGUUUCAGAGUUCUACAGCUCAAGGGUUAUGACAUGAUACUAGGGGUGGACUCGCUCAAGAAAUACAGCCCUAUACACAUGGAUUUCGUCAAAAUGGAAAUGAAGGUGUCAGUGGGACAAGAUCAAAUAAUCACCUUUCAAGAUGAAACAGUUCCAAGGGCUCAGCCUGAAGAAACUAAGGAUACAGCUAACACAUUGAUGGAACAAGCAGUGUGUGGAUUUGUUUUGUUUACUGCUUGUGCUGUGGACACAGCAGCUGUUGCUAAGGAGUUACCAGUGGAAUUACAAGAUUUGCUGCAAGACUAUGAACUACUGUUUCAAGAACCUACUGAUCUGCCUCCUAGUAGACCUUGUGAUCAUAGGAUCCCACUUGUGGAUGGAGCUAAGGUAGUAAACCAGAGGCCUUACAGAAUGCCCUAUCACCAGAAGGAUAUAUUGGAGAAAAUCAUUAAGGAAUUGUUAAAGUCUGGGGUGAUCAGGCCUAGCACUAGCCCAUUUUCAUCCCCUGUGUUACUAGUGAAAAAGAAAGAUGGCUCAUGGAGGUUAUGUACUGACUACAGAAAAUUGAAUGCAAUCACUAUUAAGAACAAGUACCCCAUUCCAAUAAUUGAGGAUUUGUUGGAUCAGUUAAAAGGAGCUAAGUUCUUUUCCAAAAUAGAUCUCAGAAAUGGAUAUCACCAGAUAAGAAUGGCAGAGGAGGACAUCCACAAAACUGCUUUUGUUACUCACAUGGGCUUAUUUGAAUAUCUAGUGAUGUCAUUUGGCUUAACUAAUGGACCUCCCAGUUUUCAAGCAUUGAUGAAUUUACUGUUUGGAAUGUUGAAGUUUGUGGUGACAUUCUUUGAUGACAUUUUGGUGUUUAGUGUUAGGAAGUAUUAGUAUUAGUCUAGGAGUCCUUAUUAGUCUAUUAGUAUUAGUCUAGGAGUCCUUAUUAGUCUAUUAGUAUUAGUCUAGGAGUCCUUAUUAGUCUAUGUUUACUUUCCUUGCACCUCAAGUCUUGUGUAAUAUAUAUAUAUAUGCCCCUUGGGCCUUCAAUAAACAUAAGUUGCUUUCCUAACAUGGUAUUAGAGCUUAGGUUAUUUUUUUCUCGUACGUUGCAACUCGUGCUCGUACAGAUCGAUUUCGUAUCGUUCUUGUAUUUUUCUUCGAUCCUCUCUUCUCGCAGACGUGUUCUCCUCGCGUCUUGCU
rnacentral:lncRNA from 1 species